ACUGAAACCGCACAAGAAAGUCGCCGUUCGAGAAAUGUCCUGGAUAACGCUCUCUAUAUCAAAGACGUCAGGGCUUCGUGUCGUGUUGCUUUCCGUGAGCAGGGAUCGCAGCGCAAGCAACAGGUUUCGGACGCUGGAACGAAUCGCUGGGUGCAACCCCAGCACUUGACACGAGUCGAGCAGGAACCGAAGGCCACCGUAGUGUUCCAACGCACUGAGAAUCGCUGGUGACGCCUGCGGCAGUGCUGCGAGGUCCGUAAGGGCCUGGAGGCAGACCAGCAUCAACUGCUGUUGGAAGGCUUCGGGUUGGUACACUCUAUCCUGGACCCAGCUUUGGUUCCUGGGAAGCGCGUGCGUUGCGGCUGGGGUGCGCUCAGCACCGACGGCUGGUACAGCGGCUGCCUGUUGAGGAUUUUGCGCCAGCAGGUCCAGUGACUGGGCUGCUAACUGACCCACGAGCCCGUGUACUAGGCCUGGCGUCUGGAGGAGGUCGCCACGAACGGAGCCGUAGCGGCACAGGGUCGUGAGCACCUCUCCCGCUUGGAUCGCAAGCGCAUAAUAGGCGGGACGCUCACUCAUCUGCGUGCAAGUCAAGUGCUUGACGAUUAUUGCCAAAAGCGGGACGCUCUCACUGGGCCUGAUGAUGCUCCACUUGCGCGUGUACUGCAACCAGGUGCGGAGCCCUGUUUCGCGCUCAGUUAGGAGCCGCACGCAACGAAGCGCGUACUGGCGUACGAGUAACGGUACCGUCCGUGCGUUGGUAUCGAGGAGCGAGUCUGCUGGUACAGCGCUUUCGAUGGAGAACGGAUCCCGCUCAAACUGCCAAGGCAUUUGCAGGACAUGCUCCACGGCCUCGAGGAGUCCGAUGCCGUCGAGAUAUUUCCAUUGAUGCUCAUUGAGCGUGGUGAGCAUCACCGAAAUCAGUGCCCAGAGCUGCUCCAGUGCUUGACGAUGCUGGAAGCAUGCAUCGUCGCUGGUACUUGUCUCGAGAAGGGCAGCGUGUCGGGUGGCCAGACGCCACAAGGUCGCACCGUGUUCGCUUUUCUCCAAGAGCAUGAAACAGGCCCACGGGUUCGAUGUCAUCGGCUGGCGACGAGGGACAUUCGUCGUCGUCGUCGUCGUCGUCGUCGUCGUCGAUGAACUGCUCGGUUGAGAGGGAUCCACGGGCUCCACGGCAGCAGCGCACCAGUUGCGUAUACAGGCCCAGGCCUCGACGGCGAUCGCAGCCGGUAUCGCCGCAUUGUCACUCAGGAGCAGCGCGAGUUCGAUGAGCGACGGUUCCUUGUUUCUUUCUGCAUCUUGCGCUAAAAAGACAA